rnacentral:lncRNA from 1 species
AGCAAACACAAGUUAACACAACUACACAAUUAUCGCCGGAUAAUUGUACGAACUCGGGUUCCCGAAAGUGUCAAAUUCGACACCGGAACCCACCGUCGCUCACUCGUCAUUUCUGAACUCUCGAAAUGACGCAAGUGACCAGCAAACAAGGCUCGGCGACUACACAAUAGCUCACGAAGCACCGUCGGAAUAAUUCCGAACCGAACCCGCGUUCUAUCGGCGGAUUUCGCCGAAAAACGCAUCGAAAAUCACUUUUCGAUUUCCGCAAG